rnacentral:rRNA from 1 species
AACGCGAAGAACCUUACCUGGGCUCGAAAUGUAGGAAGUAGAAGCUAAGAAAUUGGCGACGAACCGUUGAAUCGGUAACCUAUAUAGGUGCUGCAUGGCUGUCGUCAGCUCGUGUCGUGAGAUGUUGGGUUAAGUCCCGCAACGAGCGCAACCCUUAUUGUCUAGUUGCCACCGGGUAAUGCCGAGCACUCUGACGAAACUGCCUGGGAUAACCAGGAGGAAGGUGGGGAUGACGUCAAGUCCUCAUGGCCUUUAUGUCCAGGGCUACACACGUGCUACAAUGGUCGGUACAAACCGUCCCAAACCCGCGAGGGGGAGGCGAAUCGGAAAAAGCCGGCCUCAGUUCGGAUUGGAGUCUGCAACCCGACUCCAUGAAGCUGGAAUCGCUAGUAAUCGCGGAUCAGAACGCCGCGGUGAAUACGUUCCCGGGUCUUGUACACACCGCAUAC